GCCCGCCAUGAAAACCCUGACCCUGACCCUGA
rnacentral:scRNA from 1 species